AAGAAGAGGAAGACAAGGAAGAAGAAGAGAAGGGGCAGGGAGAAGUGGAAGAGAGGGUAAGGAGAAGAAGAAGCAGCUACCUUCACCAGAGAACAAGUUAGUCCUGUCUCUAGCAUGUGAAGAUACAAUGAGAAGUCAUCAGUCUGCACAUUCACAGAGGGCCCUCAUCAGAAUCUGACCAUGCUGGCACCCUAAUUUCAGAUGUCCGUCCUCCAGAACUGUGGAAGACACUGUAACAUGAUCGGGUAAAAGAGAAGCACAGUUAAAGGAAUCAAUAUUAAGAGCAGUCUUCUUGAAAGGUGUAAAUACAUAUUAUUCGCCUUUCUUGGUUGAAAUGCAUAUAUCCAGGUCCCUCCUCAUUCCAGAGAAAUAAAACUCCAUGAAGGAACGCAAGGGAAUGAUGUGGUAGAACACUCCUACCACAGCCUCAAGUAACAGAGGAUAAAUACAAUGUUCAUGUGAUCAUGAAAUAAUAGGACAAAAUGUCAAGUCUCGGAGGAUUUCAGAAAAACACACACACAGGGUGUCUCGACCUUAACUACUUCACAAGGCUGCUGCAUCCAUACUAGAAACAACUGCCUGAGAAUUUUAUGUGUCACAGGAAAGAAAUCAAAGGAGUGGGGGAAAACCGGUUUUCCUUCCCUACAUGAGAAAAGCAGUUCUUCUGUGACUUGUGAUUAAAGCCUUCCUGCCUGAUAUCACACCCAAAUAAAGGAAACCCUGAGGUGGAAAAAGAAUGGGGUAUGACAUCAGUGUUGCAGUACUGUUCUGAAGAAAGCAAGGGUAACAUGAAUUGUAAACGCUAUAGCUUCUGAAAAAUCUUCUGUAUGAAUUAAAUUGACAAGUUAUAUAAAAAUGGGUUAAUGCUGACA